GCCGCCGGGGCGGGACAGGGAGUGCGGAAUGGCUGCGUUGGAAAGAGCAUCUUGUUACAGCUCUUGUGCCGUGGUCAGGGACACCUUCCCUUCCUCUAGAGCAGGGUGCGCUAAGCUCUGUCCAGCCCGGCACUGAGCACCGCCAUGGAUGGGCGGCCGCCGCUUCUCUGGGCGGCCUGAGCCAGGGUCUCACCGCCCGCACAGGGAAAAGUUCCCUUCAUAUAGCUAAUCUAAGUCUACCUUCCCUCCAGCGAAAGCUAUUCUCCUUCGUCGUAUGUUCCAUCCCUUGUCAAAAACCCCUCUCCAGCUCUCAGCCCCUUUAACUAGAAGGGGCUCUGAGGUUCCCCUGGACUUUCCUCAUCGCCAGGCUGAACAGCCCCAACUCUCUCGGCCUUUUGUUUCACAGAUAAUGGUGAUGUUCAAGCCUUGUUUUACAUCUUUUGCGGGGGGAUAACUUCUGAUCUGCAGCUGUUUGUGCCUGUCCGAGUUCACACAAUCCGGAGCUGGGAGGGGAGGUGUGAGGAGCUGAGCGCCCAGGGCCAGGCGGGUCCCACAGCCCGGCUGUCCCUGCGGAUCUCUGCCAGGCUGGGCAUCCGAGCACCUGCGACUAAAACCAGAAGGGUCCAGCCACACCAGAGCACGGUUUUGUGGCUGUCCGAGCUGCUGCAAUUACACUGCUUUCACAAAGCCUUUUAACAGGUACGAGCCAUGGCUAUAGUCUGGUUUUCUUUAGAGUGGUUUUGUUAGUCACUCCAGACCUGAGGAUUUUGUGCUGUGUAGUUUAAGCCAGUCAUGCCCAUUCGGUGAGGAAGGCUGAGGCUGAAGUUUAAAACAGAACAAACCCACGAUUCAGCAAGAAAAUUAAUGAAAUGAAGAGACAGUUGGAGCUGCUGCCAAGAACAGUCAUUUCAGACCUAGCAACCUUGGAAAAUGACCUUUUAAAUAAUGAAUUUGGAAAAAUAACACUACAAAGCAACAAAAAUGAGUGUUACCUACCUAUAAAGUCUGCUAAUAGCAGUAGCUUCCAAAGAACGAAGACAUUAAAUGGAUCAUGGAAACUCACUAGAGCUGAUGUUCCUGUGUCAGGCAUCCUAAGUGUUCAAUGCACCUCCUACAGUGACUGCAGGUUAGCUCAGGGCCUCUUUCUACCCCUGUUCAAUCAAGUACUCUGAUCCAGAGAACAGGAGUGUACAGUUGCACAGCUUAAAAAACUGAGAAGAUAAAAUUUAGCCUAGAAGGGCUACCAUGGCUUCCCCAAUACUUCGGAUAACUUAACAAUGAGAAAUUUGACAUACUUAGACAAACUAUUAAUUCAUCGUCGCAUAAGCACUGAAAUACCUCCCUAAAAAUGGCUUUUAAGCCCACAUGCUUUACACAAUUGGAAGAAUAUCUGAUUCAUGUUCAAGUACUGUUUAAGUAGUGCAUAGUGAUGCAAAAGAACUUCUGUAGUUCUGCAGUCCAUCUGAAGUUUUUCUAUUCCUUGAUCCAUGCCUUACAAAGAAUAACUAGCAAAAGCAGGAAAUUCUAAUUUUUGUCCGAGCUUAAACUAGAGCAUAAUUAUUUUUUCUGUAAAGGAAAUUACUCCCUACUUAACUGCAUGUUCUUUUAACUUUGAAAUGUAUCAUAUUGAAAUGAGAUGGAAGUCCUAUUUCUUAUCAAAGCUUUCCUGCAGUGCAUUCUCCCCGCCUUUCCCCUCCCACUCAGUAAAGCUGUAUCCUUAAGAUGCAAAACAUAGUUCCCCAAAGUCCAUGCAGCUCUCUUGGUACUGGAAAGGGGCUUUAAUGUCUCUUAGACCCUUUUCAGGCUGACCCUUUUCAGCUUUGCCUGACCCUGUAAGAGAGAUGCUCUCUGAUGAUGAUCAGGCCUCUGAUCAUCUUUGUGGGACUCGCUCCAGCAGGUCCAAAAUCAUCCUUAUGUUGGGAGCCCCAGAGCUGGACACAGCACUCAGAGAAUCCCAGAGCCACUCAUUCAAGAGAUGCGAGUGAAUCUAAUCAACAUCCCUCAUAAACAGGACUCCACAACACCCAAAGUCGUUUCACAAGAGAAACAGUUUCUAUGAUAAAGAUUAUAACCACAGAUUAUGGGGAAGACAUGCUUCUUGCUUUUUUCAUUAUUUAAAGAAUAACCACUGGUGGAUUUUAGGAGGUUUUUGUGAAUUGAAACAGAAAAUGAGAACAAGUAGAGAAGCUGAGGCUUAAUCCUCCAAUUUAAUUUCCUUUAAUCUUGCUUAUAGAAUAUAUCCUUUUUUUUAACUACCCUUUUUUUUCCCACCAAAGCCUGGCACUUUCAGAUCCUCUUACACCUUUUUCCCAUGAAAUGCAUGCAUUACUAUUCUCCAGCCAGCCAGCCCUCUCCAGGUUUCCCCACCUCAUGCUCAAUGCCCUGUUUAGGUUUCCAAUCCAGGAUGUCUAACACAGCAAAACUGGAACAGGAGCAAAAGGCAGAGCAUUGCAAGUGGCCUCUUGGCAACCUGCAGGGCUCACACUUACAGCAAAUACUCUGAGCGCAGGUAGGGUGGCAAACACAACAUUAAGACUAAAUAAAAAACAAUUUAUAUUCUCCCCCACAGAGGUCUGAAGCUGGGAUAGGUAAUUUGUUCCAAAUGGGGGAGGAACACCACAGACUACAGUGCUCCAGGCUUUUCUGGGUCUCAGUCGUUUAACUCAUCCCGGGGUUUCUUCACAUAACCUGACCUCCAGUUGUUUUUGAACAAAAGGCGUAACUUCUGAAGUUUGUGGAAAAGAUAGAAAGGUGACAACCCCUAAUUACUGGUUGAUUUCAUCUGGAGCUGCAUUACAGUCAGUACUUAGCUAGAAAGGAGUCUUAAACGAAACAGCAAUUCUUAAACCAGCACAAACAUCAGCAUUUUUGUUCUUUAUUAGCUCAAAGCAUUUUAUUUAAAAGCAGCAGGCCUAGCAAAAUAAGGAACAAUCUAAAAAGAACCCCUGUUGACCUAGACACAUUCGAUUUACUGUGAUAAAAGACAAAGACCUGCAAAUCUUGCAAUGUAUCAUUUGCUUCCAAGGACAGUAACAUAUAGCCUAUGAUUUUAAUGAUUGUCCUGCAACUGAUCAUUUUGAGAAACACUGGAUAAAGUGCAGUUAAGCCAAAUAUUAUCCUCUUAUCCUUCCAGAGCACAAUAUUUCAUUUAAGCCAUUCAGGUAGAGGCAGUUCUGAGGGUUAGUAGUAGAUUUGAAAGCUUGUUUGUAGUUAUUUGAGUUCCAAGACCUCUGCAUAAUUUAGACUAGUUCACAUUUCAAAAACUUCCCAAACUUUAAAAUAUCAUACACAUUUUAAAUGUUCAGCUUCAAAUAAAGCUGCUACAGGGUCCAGUUCUGAUUUUGCAUGUAUCAGUACUUUUGAAUCAAGAUAAAUUUCUCCCAAGAGAGAAUCUUCUUUCACCACUCAAAAUAAUUAUAUUGCCACCAUUUACAUUAAGAGAAAAAGAUAGAUGGCCUUUAC